AGGGCUGGUCAUAAGACCCGGGUCCACAUAUAGGUGGGCAGGACGCCC
rnacentral:sRNA from 1 species